AGCGGCGGACGGGUUAGUAACGCGUGGGAACGUGCCCAGAUCUACGGAAUAGCCACUGGAAACGGUGAGUAAUACCGUAUACGCCCUUCGGGGGAAAGAUUUAUCGGAUUUGGAUCGGCCCGCGUUAGAUUAGGUAGUUGGUGGGGUAACGGCCUACCAAGCCUACGAUCUAUAGCUGGUUUUAGAGGAUGAUCAGCAACACUGGGACUGAGACACGGCCCAGACUCCUACGGGAGGCAGCAGUGGGGAAUCUUGGACAAUGGGGGCAACCCUGAUCCAGCCAUGCCGCGUGAGUGAAGAAGGCCCUAGGGUCGUAAAACUCUUUCGCCUGUGAUGAUAAUGACAGUAGCAGGUAAAGAAACCCCGGCUAACUCCGUGCCAGCAGCCGCGGUAAUACGGAGGGGGUUAGCGUUGUUCGGAAUUACUGGGCGUAAAGCGCACGUAGGCGGAUUAGAAAGUUAGAGGUGAAAUCCCGGGGCUCAACCCCGGAACUGCCUUUAAAACUACUAGUCUAGAGUUCGAGAGAGGUGAGUGGAAUUCCGAGUGUAGAGGUGAAAUUCGUAGAUAUUCGGAGGAACACCAGUGGCGAAGGCGGCUCACUGGCUCGAUACUGACGCUGAGGUGCGAAAGUGUGGGGAGCAAACAGGAUUAGAUACCCUGGUAGUCCACACCGUAAACGAUGAAUGCCAGUCGUCGGGUAGUAUACUAUUCGUGACACACCUAACGGAUAAGCAUUCCGCCUGGGA
rnacentral:rRNA from 1 species